rnacentral:rRNA from 1 species
GAGUAACCUGCCCUUGACUCUGGGAUAAGCCUGGGAAACUGGGUCUAAUACCGGAUAUGACCUUCCAUCGCAUGGUGGUUGGUGGAAAGCUUUUGUGGUUUUGGAUGGACUCGCGGCCUAUCAGCUUGUUGGUGGGGUAAUGGCCUACCAAGGCGACGACGGGUAGCCGGCCUGAGAGGGUGACCGGCCACACUGGGACUGAGACACGGCCCAGACUCCUACGGGAGGCAGCAGUGGGGAAUAUUGCACAAUGGGCGCAAGCCUGAUGCAGCGACGCCGCGUGAGGGAUGACGGCCUUCGGGUUGUAAACCUCUUUCAGUAGGGAAGAAGCGUAAGUGACGGUACCUGCAGAAUAAGCGCCGGCUAACUACGUGCCAGCAGCCGCGGUAAUACGUAGGGCGCAAGCGUUAUCCGGAAUUAUUGGGCGUAAAGAGCUCGUAGGCGGUUUGUCGUGCUCUGCCGUGAAAGUCCGGGGCUCAACUCCGGAUCUGCGGUGGGUACGGGCAGACUAAAGUGAUGUA